rnacentral:rRNA from 1 species
UUACUUGGAUAACUGUGGUAAUUCUAGAGCUAAUACAUGCAAAUAGAGUUCCGACCAGAGAUGGAAGGAAUGCUUUUAUUAGAUCAAAACCAAUCGGUGGCGGGCUUGCCUUGCUCACCGUUUGACUUGGUGACUCUGAAUAACUUUGUGCUGAUCGCACGGUCUCGUACCGGCGACGCAUCUUUCAAAUGUCUGCCUUAUCAACUGUCGAUGGUAGUUUCUGCGACUACCAUGGUUGUUACGGGUAACGGGGAAUCAGGGUUCGAUUCCGGAGAGGGAGCCUGAGAAACGGCUACCACAUCCAAGGAAGGCAGCAGGCGCGCAAAUUACCCACUCCCGGCACGGGGAGGUAGUGACGAAAAAUAACGAUACGGGACUCAUCCGAGGCCCCGUAAUCGGAAUGAGUACACUUUAAAUCCUUUCACGAUUAACAAUUGGAGGGCAAGCCUGGUGCCAGCAGCCGCGGUAACUCCAGCUCCAAUAGCGUAUAUUAAAGUUGUUGCGGUUAAAAAGCUCGUAGUUGAAUCUGUGUCCCACACUGUCGGUUCACCGCUCGCGGUGUCCAACUGGCAUGUCUGUGGGACGUCCUACCGGUGGGCGCAGCCCGUCAAAAGGCGGCCCAACUCAAAAUCCUACCACGGUGCUCUUCACCGAGUGUCGAGGUGGGCCGGUACGUUUACUUUGAACAAAUUAGAGUGCUUAAAGCAGGCUCAUUCGCCUGAAUAUUCUGUGCAUGGAAUAAUGGAAUAGGACCUCGGUUCUAUUUUGUUGGUUUUCGGAACUCCGAGGUAAUGAUUAAUAGGGACAACUGGGGGCAUUCGUAUUGCGACGUUAGAGGUGAAAUUCUUGGAUCGUCGCAAGACGGACAGAAGCGAAAGCAUUUGCCAAAUGUGUUUUCAUCAAUCAAGAACGAAAGUUAGAGGUUCGAAGGCGAUCAGAUACCGCCCUAGUUCUAACCAUAAACGAUGCCAGCUAGCGAUCCGCCGAAGUUCCUCCGAUGACUCGGCGGGCAGCUUCCGGGAAACCAAAGCUUUUGGGUUCCGGGGGAAGUAUGGUUGCAAAGCUGAAACUUAAAGGAAUUGACGGAAGGGCACCACCAGGAUUGGAGCCUGCGGCUUAAUUUGACUCAACACGGGGAACCUCACCAGGCCCA